rnacentral:rRNA from 1 species
UCCAGACUCCUACGGGAGGCAGCAGUAGGGAAUUUUGCGCAAUGGGCGAAAGCCUGACGCAGCAACGCCGCGUGAUCGAGACGCCCUUCGGGGUGUAAAGAUCUGUCAGUGGGGACGAAACUUGACGGUACCCACAGAGGAAGCAUCGGCUAACUCCGUGCCAGCAGCCGCGGUAAUACGGAGGAUGCGAGCGUUAUCCGGAUUUAUUGGGUUUAAAGGGUGCGUAGGCGGGCUGUUAAGUCAGCGGUCAAAUGUCGGGCCUCAACCCCGGCCUGCCGUUGAAACUGGCGGCCUCGAGUGGGCGAGAAGUAUGCGGAAUGCGUGGUGUAGCGGUGAAAUGCAUAGAUAUCACGCAGAACUCCGAUUGCGAAGGCAGCAUACCGGCGCCCGACUGACGCUGAGGCACGAAAGCGUGGGUAUCGAACAGGAUUAGAUACCCGGGUAU